AUACUUGCCUGGCAGGGGAGAUACCAUAAUCAAGAAGGUGGGUCACCCAGGGCGAGGCCCAGCCAUUGCACUCUGGUUGUGCUGACCGCCGACCUUGGGGGUGAGCUGCACUGUAGU